CCACGUGACGCGCGCGCGCCCCGCCCCGCCCCGCGGAGACGUUAAAUGGAGGCGGGGGGAGGAGAGGCGGUAUGUUGCCCGUUAGUCGGCGUCGCAGGUACGAAACGGCUCCGCAGAGUCGGGGAGGGAGCAGUCACGCCGCUGUCACCCCUUUUUUUCCUCAGCGGGUUGGCAAAACCCCCCAUCUCUUAAAGGUUUUUCUGGCUCCAAGAGGACGAGGGCAGAGGUGGGCGCCCCGAGGAGCUCCUGGGAGCCUGCAGGAGAUUUAUGUCCCUGCUUCCUUCAAGGUAGAAGGACUCAAAACACCCCAAAGCAAUUUCUUGGCUUGCCGCUCCAGGCCUGUGUCCUGUUAUCGUCACUUUGAUGAUGAUUUACGGAGCUUAAAUAAGAAGCGCAGUCCUUUGGCAGUUUUUUUUUUCCUUCAAACUGAAAGCCUCUAAUCUUCUAGAUAUUUUUAUCGGAGCUUUCUAAAAUAGUUGUACAUACAUCACAUAAAUAAAUCAUUGCAGGCCUGGAGUCUGAAUUAGCUAAAAGAAGAACAGGAGGAAACUGAAGAGAGAACAGCAGAUAGCGCAUCCAUCGGCUGAGAUGAGCAAGAAGAAUAAGCACUGAAGGCUAGGCAAGGCCUGAAAAGUAAAGAUGAGGACUGCUUACUUAAAGAGAAAAGUUUCAAGGAGCAGCAAGGUCAGCUAGAGGAAGAAAUACUGCCUUGGACCGGUAGAAGGAGGUAAGUGUGAAAGUCAUCGGCAUUGAAGAGACUGAAUGAAGUCACCGAGAGGCCAACGCAGAGGGAGGAGAAAGAAGAAUAAAAGAAGUGUACCAAAGACAGAAACCAGCAGAGUGAGUUUUUCUUGUAUUUGCAUAAGUUAGCACCUGUAUUACUCGCAGCUGGAAGGGAGUAUGUGUGUGCAGUGGGGGGUGGGGGACCUUCAUUCCCUGGAAACACAAGGGUUACUGUUUUACAUAUGAACUAGGCCUGUUGACAGAAAAUGACUCCAGUUUUAUGCUAAUGCUCAAGCACUUACACUGCUGAUGCUAUUGAAAGUAGCAUUUCCAUCAGGGAAGGACUUACAGUUUUUCUUUGAUUUCCCGGCAGGAUAUCAGCUAAUCUCCAUCAUAAUAUGAUAGUUAUAGUUCAUUGUUUCCUUCAAGUGAGCCUGAAGAAAGAGUGAUACAUGGACCUAAAUGCCAUGCAAUGCCUUUUCUACCUAGCUGUAGUGUUUGGUUAUCAAGACUGAGUGUGUUAAUGUAGAGCUGCUAUAGUAUAAAAGUUUCUUGACAGAAAUUUGGAACAACAUAUUAAUAAAUUGUAAAACUACAUUCUUUUAUACAAUGUUUCUAAAAUAAUGACAAGGUUAUUUCGCUAAAGAGAAAAUGUGUAUGUUAAUACUGUUAGAUAUAUGACUAUAAAUCGUAUUACAUAAGAAAUCACAAACCACAAACACCAGCCCAGAGUUAUAGGCAGGGAGAUAGAUAUACAAAGUAGUUUAGCCCGCUAAAUGAACUAAGUAUCAAUAUAUCACAGACACAGUGUUUCCCUGAAUGUUGCAGGAGUGGAUCAUCUCCUAAUAAAAUAAUAAUGGAAGUUGAGUGUAAUAAAAGUUAAGUGACAGCUGUUUUUAAGUUUAACUUCUUUUAAGUAGUUGCAGUAGAGGCAGAGUAGACUGAAACCUUCAUCAUUUGAUGUCCAUAAUCACAGGAUAAAGUCAGUCUAUCCAGCUGUUUGCAUUUCAGGUAAAUGAGAUAAAUCUAUUUGUCCUGAGACCAGCCUUUGAGACUUGUACAGUUUUCUCUUUAAACUGAUCCUUGCUGCUUUUUUUCUAUUCUUUGUCUAGGAAAGAUGCAUUGAAGGUUGUGCAUUUUAUCCUUUUGUAACAAAAAGGAGCUUUGUAACAUUGUUUUGUGAGAUAACAAAAGAAUGUUUAAAUAGGUAUUUUUAAUAAUAUUUUGGUGUCUCAUGAUACUUAGUAUUCAGGGCUUUUCUGAAAGGUCUCUCAGUGACAAGAGAAACCUUCAAUAGAUCCUGCUAACUACAUAUGUUAUUUUAAUGUGUAUUAUGUACACAUAUUAAGAUGUUUAUUUAAAAGUCAUAUUAGAUACGUAUGUGAUUCAGAAUGUUAGCUGAAAAUAUUUUCACUCCUGUCAUGCUAGUGAGGAAUGCUUUGGUUUCAAAUACAGAAGUUACGUACCAUGUAGGAACUGAGCUUCAGCUGGCUUUAACCCAACCAGAACAGCAUUUCAUAACUGUUGAGUGCCUGUAACCAGUAAUGAGACUUUUAACUUAAAAAUGCAUUUUACUGAAACACAAGCUAAUACAAUUUUUUACUCUAUGGAGGCAAAUUAUGGAAAUCGUUCUUCUUUCAUUAAGAAAGCUGGCAAAAUUUUACAUUAAAAUACUGUACACAAUCUGUGCAGCAUACCAGUCUGGGACAGUGCAUGAAUUUCUGUUGCUCAUUCCUCCCUGUAAAUGAACUGUCUUCCUCCAGAAAAAUAAUAACAAAUUCUUUACAGAGGACAAAUGUGCCAUGGUUAGGAGACACUCAGGCACAGAUUUGAGUUUUUAUGGUGACACUUAAAUGGUAAUUGUCUGCCUAAGGUCCAAGAAGUGAUCCUCAGAACUGCAGCAUGUGGUGCUGCCCAGGGGUAUGGUUUCACAGUCUGAUUCCCCUAGCAGCUUGCUGACACUGAGAGGAGGAGGUCUUCCUCUCCUUCCCUCCUUUCCUGCUUCAUCCUCCCACUCCCAGCAGUGCAGGCUGCCCUUCCACCAUCUCUGGCCACGAGGUGGGCUGUAAAUUCGCUCAUCCGAUUAAAAAAAAAGUUUGCUUUUUCUCCAGGUCACUUUUCUGUAAUUUCAUUGAGCUGAGCCUUCCAUCAAAUAAGUGAUGGCUCAAAGCAAGCAGCAGUAGUAUGCAGCCAGAAGUGGCUGGGGAAGGAAGGAGAUGAUAAGAAAGAGCAGGAAACUUUAUCUUUUGGUGAUGAGACAUUGACUUGGCUUGUGUCAUGCUUGAAGUGUAGAAAUCUCUGUAGAGUCCAGGAGUGCUCAAAGAUAUACCUACAUUCACAGUAGCAGGCUCCUCUGCCUGUGUUCUAGCUUAGCCAGAAUCAGGCCAGCUCUGAUGCAGAACUCUGUUAGCUAAUAUACUCUGCCUCUUAAUGAAACUUUCCUUUUUUUGCUGCUGUUUAACUAAUUUAAUGCUAUACAAUGCUUAAUGACAAUAUCACUUUUUUAAGGCCAAGUUUCUCUUUCGCAGCUUUCUGUGAUAUGCUCACAAUUAAAACCAAUGUAUCAAUCACAAAUCCAGAGCCAGAAAAAUACUCCAACUCACACUUAUUUAUUUGUUCAUCUGAGCUUGAAUGUGUCUGCAUUUUCCAUCUGAAUAUAAAGGUUUAAAAGAAGACAGUGUCUCUUCCUACAACCCCUUUUUUUUCUUGAAUGGCAAGUGCUGACUUAGGAAUAGUUUCUUGUCGUUGCUGGGACUGUGAAGCAGUCCCAGAAGAAUGGGGAGGCUUCUGAGGAGGAUUUCAAAAAUCAGCAAAUUAAGGGAGCAUUUUCUACACAGGAUAGAUGGCAUUUUUAGUCAUAAAGACAGGAAAAUAAAUACAGAUAAAGCCUAUAGAGAAGGUGAGCAUAUAACAGGGACAAUAUUGUGGUUUGUUUAAGACUUAGUUCAGACUGUGAGUGCUAUGAAUGAAUGGAAUGUCUUUAUCAUUGAAUACACCAAAUAGUAACUUUUUUGUUGCUUAGUGUGUUAUUAUCCCCCAUGUUAAUGGAAAAUUAUCAGCCAGUGUAUCUGUUGAUUGUAAUUGAGUAUUUUGUAUGUUGUGUACAUACAAGAUUGAUCAGCAGCACUGUCCAGGCAGAAGGCUAUGUGGUAUUUUACAGUUUUAACAGUGCCACAGAUGUUAAAUACCAGGAUAGUAGUACUCAGGGUCCUUGUGCAUGAGACAGCAGGUGUUACUGAAUGGGGUAAUUCUUUAUAGCACCAGCAGUUGCUGCCUGUACUGUUUGCAUCCUUUUUAUUGCAGGUAAAAAGGCUACAAGGCUUUCACAAGGUUUUCUUUCUAUGCUGCUACCUUCCAUAGAGGGCAUUGCUCCUGUCUUUUCCCCUUCCAUAAUAGGUGAUGCUUGGCUUUGGUCUUGUCUUGACUCUUCCUUCAUGUUUAAGCAGCAAUUUUUUUUUUUCUUGUAUUAAAAAGCUUUCAGCUAAAUUUGCAAAUUUUUUUCAGCAAAAUCUUUGGUAUGCUUCAGUGCAGUUUUUGAUGGAUUGAAAAGAAUCAGGGAAGAGGAGUUAAGUCAGAUGCACAUGCUGCAUACAGCAAGCUGAUCAGUGGCUUCAGCUGUUGUUGACUGAAGAAAGCAGUGGAAGGUACCGCAUGCAGUUAACUCUGCAAGUCUGAGAUUACAGCUUGAUUGCUGAUAGUGGACAAAAAAGAAUUGUAUUUCAAUUCAUAGUAGUACCUUAUUUUGGAACUAUCACAUUAUUACAAAUAGUUUGAACAUAUCUUUGUGGUUAGUUUUCCGUGGCUAACCCUUAAACAUUUCCAGACCUUUUGUUGAAAAAUAGUAAACAAUUAGCCUUACGCUGAGAAAAUCAAUCUUCGAGAUUCACUAAAAACUGUGUUUCAGAGAUUUUCAGACAUUCUCUUUUGAAUAUUAAUGUUUCAGAGAUAAAAACAUUCAAAUAAUUUGAAUACAUCAGAUGAAGUUUGAAGUUCAGGCCAAAGCUGAACUGGGAUUGAUUAGCUACCAAAUUCUAAGAAGAAUGAAAAAUAAAAUUACUGCAGCUUCUUUCUUUAUCAAGCACUGAUGGGCAGUAGGUAUCUACUUACUGAAUGUGGAUAUAGCACCUUUGUGUAGGCUUUGUAUGUGCCGGACAGUGGUACCUUCCAAAAACAGUAAUGGGUAAGUAAAUCAGAUGUUACGUGGUAGUAACAAGAGUCUUGGCUAGGCCUAUUAUUUAUCACUGACCUUUUGUUGGUUGCAAUUAUGAUUCCGACCAAAGCAGAAAGUUGCAGUUGCAUAACAUAUUUGAUUCUGCAUUUAAUUUGGCAUGUGGCCUCUUUAAGCAUAAAGCUAGACAUUCACAAAUGUGUAACCAGGGAAGAAAGGGCUGCCUUUCAAAGGACACACCUCAUCUUGGAGCCUCGGAACAGAUCCUUUCUUUCUUUGAAUUUCUUUACAUACACAUAUCUGUGCAUUUAUUCAGUGGAGAGCCUAGGUAAACUCACAAUCAAAUGAAGCAAAGUCUUUAGGACUCUCUGGGAUAUUAACUGUGAUUUUUCACACAGAACAUUUACUUAAUCAUGGUACUUCUUCUGACAUUACAGGAGAUGACUGACCUGAGAGGGAAGUCAUCAUUUCCUUCACUUUGCCUAACCCUGUCUCUGGCUGUGUGGUUCUACACUUUAAGACACCAGCACUGGUGCUUAAGCUGAUUCAACUCAAGUCCAUGAGAAAACUCUACCUUUCUUCUCAGUGAGUGCAUUGAAUUGAUUCGCCGAGGGAUCUAGUGAGCACCAGAAUGAGCAAGCAUUUCUGUAGUCUAGGUGCCAUGCAAAGAGGAGCUGAAGACUCUGAAAGCAGGAGAGAUAAGAGGAGCUAAAGGCCUUGCUGUUGCAAUGAAGAGAAUAUGGAAGCUAUUUAAGAAGAAUGGCUUUUGAGAGUGGGAAGGGACUGAGUGACUGGGAGCCAUAUAAAAAGAAAAAGUGAGUGUGUGCAAUAGGAGAUUAUGAAUAGGCACAGAAUAAGGAAUAAGAGAAGGAAAAAAGUUCAGUAACAAAUGAUAGGUAGAAAAAUAGGGAAGAAAAAUCAGAAGGAAAGGAAAGCUUCAAUGAAAAGCAAAAAGGAGGUAAUGUAAUUGUAUAUUUUUUCAACACAGACAAUCUACUGCAUCAAGAAUAGCUUAAAAUACGCUUGAUACCAUUUUGUUAUUUUCCAUAUAAGCAAUUAAUGAGUUACCAUUAUGAAGUUAUUUGAAAGAGAAAGUACUAUAUGAUAAGAUAGAAGAAAAGCAUCCACAUGGUGAGAAUUCUGGGGGCUUGCUUCUACUUGAGUGAAUAGCAAACUCCAAUUUAAAACUGAUAUAAAUAGUAUCGCUUACUUUUUUGGUACAUCAUAAUACCUACUAUUCACAACGGGAAAUAGCCUGUUGCUGACACUUUGGUAUUUUGUCAAAUUAAUCAGGUAAUUUGUCAAGUUAUCCAGUUUUGCUUCAGAUAAGGGUAGCUGUUUCUGAAGUUUUAAAGUAUAUGGGCUGGUUUUCUAUUAAACAGAUGCUGAGAUUAAAAGUUAGGUGAGAAAUUUUAUUAAUCUGAGUUCUGACUAGCUUUUUUUAAUCACUGUAACUACUGUAAGAGAAUGCUGUAAGUCACGUGCAAAUAGAGCAAAUUUCUAGAAUUGUUGAAAUCCAGUGGAUAUGAACCCCUUAUUUUCUGCAGCUGCAAACUGCAGUUAAAAUCCUAAUAUUGUAAACAGAUGACAUACAAGGCAUUUUCAAAGAACUUGGAUCCUAUUUUAUCAAGAUUUUUAAUGAGAAUGAAGCAUCUACAUUCCACCAGCUGCAUUCCAAAUCUCAGAUCAGUUGGCUGAUAAAAAGGUUUAUUUGAUGUUCGAAUAUAGAAGGAGAUUCUGCUCUUCUUUGAGGAGGGUUUAACUAGCAAGCUCAUGUCAUCUCAUAUGGUUGGCAGAAAAAGCACAAAUAUGACUACUGUCUUCCUGCUAUGGACAAAACAGUGUGGCUUGAUUUAGUGUAAUCAGGCACUUAAUUUAUUUGCUAACUUUUUUCCUCUGAGGAUGCUAUGCAACAUGCAGUACCCUAGAACCUGUUUAAAAUGUGCAAUUUGAGGAGUAACGCUCUACCCACAAUACACUGAUAAUACAGUUUGUGUAUCAGUUGUGUGGAAAGGAUGGGUACAGGCACUGCAGGGCCACCUAGAACUGUUCUACAUAAUGCCCUUGCCAGAGGAAGUCACAUUUCCCACAGACAUUUCCACAGGCAAAUUUUAGCCUUUCUGUGCCAUCUGCGUGCACAGUUAAGACUCUGAACCUACUAAUGUAAUUCUCUGCACCAGACAGAAGUUGUGGUCUUGAAAAGUGGUUUAUUUAUGAAUUAAUCCCAUGUAAAUUAGAAAUUUGUUUUAGAAAAUUAAAGUACAAUUGAAUGUGUGUUCAUAGUAAGUUUAAAUGUCAGCGUGCUACAGGAAUGUGUUUAAAUUGGCCAACAAGUUCAGAAAUUACUAGUGGAGAUAGACAAGAGUCUCUAGAAAACCACAGACAAAAUGGCAGCAUUAGUACUCUCAUUCUUUUCUCUGUUCUACAUUUUAGACUUGGUUUGGGCUUCCUUUAUGCCAGCCAUUCACCUUAUUGGCUAAAAUUUCACAUUCAAUCUACUGAAUGCAAGUAGCUACUUCUGGUGAAGCUUAAGGUAGCCUUAACAGAAGAGUAAAACCUAAUAAAUACAUAGUAGUAGGGCUUAACAGAAAAGCUGUCUGCAUUAGCGAUGCUACAUUAUUAGCUGUACCUAGCUGCCCUCAUCUGUCCUUCCUGCCUCUCUGCGGAAGUUUAUUCUCAUUGCAUAUGUACCUGCACUUCAGACUGAAAUCACCACUACCAAAAGCAAAGUCCUGUUUCCCAUUUUGCUAUUUCAUGCCUGUUCUGGUACUCAUUGCAAUCCCAUGUGAUCUUGCUCAUUUCACUAAACCUGCAAGAAACAGGAUAUUUUUCUGCAGUGUUUAGUUGGUUACAUCUUCUCAACAAAAGGUCUGCUGAGAGUUGAGGAAGACUGAGGGGUACAAUACCUGUUUCAAUUGGCUUUUCUUGAGUCUUCAGUGACUGUGGCUCGCAAUUCAGAACCUUAGUUCAAAUUCACACACAUCAGAUGCUUAAGCGAAACAGAGCAGUAAAGUAGGGAACUGUUGUCAAGAGCAGAAAUUGGCAACAUUAAAAGAAAACAAACUGUGACCUUUCUUCUCCAUUGGUGCUAUAAGGCAUGAAGAAGAGUUUGCUAUUACCAACUUUAUAAAAACAUUUUCAAAAGGGUUGUAAAUCUUCUUUUUAACUUUCUAUUAUAGGCUGAAUUAGCAUUUUGUUAUGAUUAACUUCUGCAAAUAUUUAUUGAAAAUUGUUUUGCAAGAUAAUAUAGAGACUGGCAGAGCUUUAAGUAUUGCUAAAAGAAAAAAAAAAAAACUCUCCAAACUGCAGCACUUAACAUGAAGGUAGGAUUAAAAUGUAACCAGUGACAAGUGCAUUCAAAAGGCUCUAUCAGAUGAGUAGAAGGAGAAACAAAAUGUUAGUUCUUGUUACUUCUUAUUAACUGUUUACACAAUUCAGGAAUGGCUGAAAGUAGUCAGAAGUUACUACCUGAAUAAAGAGCACGGUAUUUGGGAAGAUAUGCUUAAGAUUUUUGAAGGGAAAAUAUAUAGGUUUUUGACUAUAAACUUGUACGUGAUAGGAAUGAAUUAAGAGACAUUUAAGAUAUAGCUAGAACAAGUUUGAAAUGUUUGAAAAAUAGGUGUUAAACCUGAGGAUUCCUUCCUGUUCUCUAUACUACAUGGAACAAGUGAGGACAGCUGCAGUAAAACUUUUCUUGGCAGAUAAGAUUGUAGAUAGAAAAGCUUAAAAAUAUAUAUGUAAAAGACAAGCUUUAAAUGAACAUGAAAUCAAGUCACAGGAUCACUAAUUAAGCAGUGUCAUUAAUAACCUCCUACAGGUUAUUGAUGCAGCUUAUUCAAGGCUGGUAAUCUAAGGAAAGACAAGGAAUCUUCCUGUGCUGUCCAAAUUACAAGUAUGCAGAUUAGUCUCACUAACGAAUUCUACUUUAUGUGAAUAAGUGUCAUUAAGACAAUAGAAUAUUCUAUAAAUCAAAUUUGGCAACAACACUGCAGUAUAUGUACUUUAAAUGACAGAGCAUUAUAGUUUUUAUUACCUGAAGUGAUUAUUUUAUUUUGGCUCCAAUACCAGUUCAAUUGAGGCCAACAGAAAGUUUGCCACAGACCUUGACAGGAUGAGGAUCAAACUCACGACAGGUUCAUGACUCUCACUUCCCUGAACUGGAGUGUGGAAGCGCACUUCCAUGUGGCACUUCAUUUUUUGCUCUUCUGAAGAAAUCACAAACUAAUACUAAAAAUAUGUAAUGUUUAUAAUACUAUUCAUUAGAGGAUUUGAGAAAUUUUACAUAAAUAGUAGGCAUUCUUACCUAACUGAAACAAACAGAAAGGUUAAGCGAUUUAUUUUUCAGUUGACAGAACCGGAGACAGCUUUUCUGACCUUCGGUUAUUUGCUAUAAUUUAUAAGCUAUCCUGUCUAGUUAUAUAUUAAAUCACACAUUUCAUAACCUGAUUUAUAAAAAGGGGCAUGCUCCAAACAUCUAUGAUGAUGAAAGGUUAAUACAGAAAGUAAGUUUUGGGAAAUAAAUAAAAACUGGGUAAUAGCAUUAAGUACCCUGUCAUGUUUAAAUGAGUUCUGAGUGAACAGAAUCAAAGUACUACAUAAUAUCUCCCAUUGUUUGGUUUAGGCAUUUUUGUUUUCAACUGUCAUAGUAGUUAAUUAACUUAAAAUCAACUGCUUUUCCUACUAGCCCUUGAAAAGAAAGUCAUGAAAGUCAAAACACUAAUAUUUUAACUCUGUAUACAAAUUAGAUUAAACAUUGCUGCUUUGUUCCUCCAAAAACUACCUCCCCUUCACACCAAAGGAGAUGUGCAUUUGAUGUCCACGAUAUUCUAAUAGCAUCCACAUUUUGAAAUCUAAGAACAUGUAAAACUUAGAAAUGUGAUGAUACUUAUUAACUUACAAAAUACCAUAGUUCACCUCUUUUUGAUUUCUUUUUUCCUCUGCUAUCUCUGAUGAAUCAGAAGCUCUAAAAAGAGACAAGAUACACAGCAAGAGUGGUUUUUGAGCCAGGAGUCAUUUUAUAAAAUAAAACAAACCCAGCCCAAAUAACUGCUGUUCAAGGGAAUUUUUUCCCUAUACCAAGGGAGAGAAGCUUAAGUUAUGUUUAAGUUAACAGGAUUUUUAACCUUGUUCCGUAAUUAUAUAUAAUGAAGAGAAUGUGUCCUGCAAAUUGUGAUGUUUCAUGCAAACAGUAUUUGAGUUUCAAUCAGUGGAUGUUUUGAGUAUCUUCAGGGUCCAAAGUUCAGAUUCUUUGACCACAUUUGAAGUGGUAUACCUUACAGAAGGAACAGUUUCCUGCCAAAAAAAGCUACACUAUUUGUAUUAAACAGCUACAGGAUCUUAAUUUAUUUUUUUUAAAUGAAUGUCAAGAUUGCAUGGAAUCAUUUGCAAAUGAUUCAGAGGAAGGUAAAAGUAGGAAGAAUCAAACUUAAAGUGAUUUAAAAAAAUUCUGUACCAUUUAUUUUAUUUAAAAUGUGAUUUUUCCAAAUGUAUACAUCAUUGUAAUAACAUUUAAAAAAUUGUGAACUCUUACAAACCCUAUAACAUCCAUUUCCUUGAAAGCUCUCCUAUCAUUCCCAUUAAAUUAGUCAUUUUUCAGUCCCAAGAAAAAUGGAGAGAAAGUGAGCUCUGUAGCUUGAGCUGCUGAUUAGCACAUUGAAAACUUGAGUUACCUAAAUGAAAAGGAAAUAGGGGAGAACUGUUCCACCUCCAAGGCAAUCUUAUAAUCUCAUAGCUUCAUCAUAACCCUGCAUUUCAGUUAUAAAAGUGAUCUCACACAAUGCACUUAACUCAUUUCAGUCUUACAGUGUAGCAACCUUGAAGAACUUCAAAACACUUUUAGAAGAAGGGCAAAAAUGGAAGGGCUGAGUCCCAGGCUGCAGGUGGGAAUUCCCCCAUCUGCCAACAGGAAAGAAAUUGCAAAGCAGUUUAAAUGACUUGUCAUUUAGCCAAAUCUGAUGGUGAAGCUUUAGGAAUAAGAAAACAGUUCUGUGUCCACUGAUGUCAGCUGCGCUCUAUGUAUUUUUCAAAGGGCAGGACUUGCAAAAUGUAACACUUCUAAUAUACCUGCUUAUCUUCCAAGGUUAGAGAAUUUUCAUCUCUACAAAAGCAUUAAAAGAUUAAAAACCUCACCACAAUCAUCUAUAUCUAUUUCAAUAGCACUGGAGGUUAUAGCAUGUUAAAAAAAAAAUUAGUAAAAUGUUACAUAUAAUAUUCAGCCUUUACAUUAAAAGUGCGUUUAGCCACAACUCUGUUCUAGGUGUCCAACUAUAGCAACCUUAACGCAGAAAUCACCAGCCCAGCAUGUUGCCUGUGAGACCCUCCAAUGUGAGGAGGCGGUAAAGGAACAGUGAUGUUUUUGUAUGCCAUACAACACUGGGAACUGUUAUUUCAAUAUGACUUAAAAUUAAGGGUGGCUAUAAUUGAAGAUCCAGAAAUUGUGUUGAUAAAGUUAACCAGUAACUCUCUGAAGUUCUUAACUGUAGCUCUGUGGAUACUGAAUAUUUAUUUAAUAGCAUGUCUCAUUCUACUUAAAGGUAUUACUUUGUUAUCCUGGUAGGGCAAUACAUGCUUAUGCAGAGUAUUGCUGUGGGCUAGUUUGCCUUUUUAUUCCACUAACCAAAUAUCUGCUUUUUCCACAUUUAAACUUUUAAACUGCAAGAGGAAGGUCAUCUGUGGAACUUGUGUAAUUUCCAGAUAAAGUAUACCAAGUGUGGUUUUAACAAGGCACAUUCUCUAGCUAUUUGCUUAAAAAAAAAAAUGAAUAAAAGAAACCUACACUCACCUCCCCGCAAAUACCCACCACACUGGAUUUGUCCAGCACUAAAUACAAUGUUGAAGUGUGUAUCAAACAAAUGUUUGAAAAAGGUAAAAUUUAAAUGGAUAAUAUGGGCAAAUAGUAAUAUGGUUUCUUUUCAUCCAAAAUAAUAAUGACAAAAAUACACAAAUUGAGUAGUUUGUUAUCCAACGCUGGCUAAAACAAAUCAAUAUAAUCCAGAAGCAAUAAUACACACACAGUUGAAAGAUCAACCCAUGAAAUAAUUUUCAUAUUCAAAUCUAUUACUAGAAUGAAAACAAAAUCCACAUGGCAAUGAAGGGAAUAUAUCAAAUAAUCAAGUAGAUUUAUCAUGAUGGUUUAAAGUAUUAACAGUCAGAAAAAAAUGGUUAGUGUCAAUAAAAAUAAUUAAAAUGGUGUUCCUUCUAAAGAAACAAAAUGAAACUAUUAAUAAAACAUCAAUAGUAUGAUAGGAUGGCUCAAAGUGCAUGUGGAAGAAGAGGGAGGCAGUACAGGACCUGCUCUUUAUAUAUUCUCUUCUUAGCACAAUAACCUUUGCAACAGAUCAUCUCUUUUCCCAAAUGGGAUUUUCACUCACUCCUGGCUGUGCUGAAGAUUUGUAAAACUUUCACAUUUUUGUAAACUGUCUUGCAAUAUGCAAGGUAGCGCACUUUAAAAAAGUGUAUUAUGUUUCAGUAAUUCUCCACUACUCCAGAAGGAGGUUUGUAACUAAGGGGCUGGAAGUGACAUAGACUUUUUAAGCACUUUUUCCCCUUUUGUGGGCCCUGGGUAAGGGGGUGGUGGCACAUCAGGUUGUCCACCUGCAGUAACUGCUUGCUCAUAAGUUGGUAGUCCUGAAUCGUCAGUUCUGUGAGGAAGUGGAUUUAGAGAAAACUCUUCAUGUCUUCUGAAGAUGUUAGAUGAAUUAUGUCUUCUGUUUCUUACGUAAUCCAAGUACCUAAACAAAGUUAACAACAUUAUGAGUGGCAGCUUCCAUUUUAAUAAAGGAAGGAAAGCAUAUACAAUCUUAGUUGUAAAAUAAAAAAAUCCCCAAACUUACUUUGAAUGAUCAUAAAAACCAUGAGCCAAAUACUCUCUCCAGACCACAAGGUAGGAACAGUUCAGUAAUGGAAAAUGUAUAGGGGAGAAAAAGCACAGAAUCCUCUUAUAUUCCUUUCAGUUUUAGGAUGAAGGAGCAGGCCAGACUAGAGGACUGCUACAGCAGCAUUUCCCCCAACCUACUUGCUUUUACAUCUCCUGAAGUAGACUACAUGCCAUGAGGCAUACACCCUGCUUUUAAGAGCAAACAAAACACACUACACUUUCCAUUGCAGGCCUCAAACCAUUGAGGGGAUUCCACUUUUUAAUGAAAAUAUUUUGGAUCCCAGGAGAUACAAAAGAGAAGGUUGUCAGCCACACAAGUGCUGUUUUAUGUUUUUGUGGGAUUAAUUAACUUCAACAUAAUUAGUGCUAGUGCUGACCUAACUUUGCCUCCAGAAAAGAUAGAACUAGAACUCCCAUUGACUCCUCCGAGAAGUUAGACCAACCCACAGUGAUUUUAAAAUUUGACUCUUAAGCAGCCAAGGUUUGGUGGUGUUUUGUUUUUGUUUUAUUUUUUUUUUAAACAGUGAAAUUCCUUACCCUGGUGGUUGCCUUGAUUUGCAUCUACUUUUGCAGCAGUAGAAAAUAAGCAGUCCAAUUACGACCAACAUUACUCCAGCAGCAACUAGACCGAUGAGAAGUCCUGUAACAUUAAUCUUUUGUAGCGUAUCAUCAUCUGAAGAUAAAACAUUGGUUAUUUUCAGAUGAAUAACAACAUGAUGUUCUCUGCAUUUACAUACUCUGUGGUAUAGAGCAUACACUGUGAAAUACUAAUUUUGCUGUACUAUAAGGUAGUUCCUUUCUGUAGAUGUCUAAGCCUGCAGUGAGAAGCCCUUGUGCCUGUGCAGUACAACCGAAGUGUACCAUUCACAUUCAGCUUAAAGCAUAGGUGACCAGACAUUCCCCUUUUAUGUACAUGUAACUGUUGAGAUGUCUUCCCUCACCUGCCUUUCGAAUGUUACUUCAUGUACUUGUAUCUCUAAUCUGGUUGUAAAUCCUUCUUCAAGUCAUACUGACCUUCUUUCUAUAAAACAUUUGGCAUAAUGCACCUGAUUCAGACUGCUAUACUACUAUUAAACAAAAAAAAAUACGAAACAAAACCCAUGGAAAGCAGCCACAGUGUUACUGCAAAGUUGACAUAUUGUAUAAUAGAACAGAAAUGGACAACAACAUACAUGCUGUUUUACUCACACACUAAGAACAGAUCCACCCUAACGAGACACUUCAGAGAUUCAUUUGUGUGUUAGCUAAUGCACUAUACUUGCACAGUUCACUAUGAAAUUCAGUAAAAAGAUCAAAUUUGGUUUUGCUGACUGAAUGCAUGCUGUUAUUUUUAAGAAGGUACUAUCAUAACAAACACAAGAUACUGCAAUGUAAGCAAAGAACAAGAAGAGAAUAAAAAGAUGACUUACCUGUUUUUAUUUUAGGGCCUUUACUUGAAUACUCUUUCCAAAAAUCCAUCUAUAAAAUUUCAAAGGAUCACAUUUAUAUGAGAUACAUAACUGUCCGGCUUAUUAACAUUUUUUUUUUGAAUAUGGUACUGUAGGCAAAAUUUAACCAUGGCACAGACAGGAGCAACUCUACCUGAUGGGUUUGUAGUUAUUUGUCAUCAGGUGUUUUACUCAUACAUUCAAGUUUGCAUAAAAAUUAUAAUUUCACAGAAACACAGAGCAUGCUUAGUGAAAGAGAAAAGAUCUCAAUGCAUUCAACUGUUCACUAUUACAUCAUAUAGAGAGAUUUCUUCCUGAUUACAGUAGCAGUUAGUGUAUAUUAUAACACCAAAAAAUGCUUACAGUUAAUCUUUGGAAUUCCCUACAGAAGAGUAUUAAUGAGGCAAAUAGUCAGGUAAUUAAGAAUCAUACAUCUGCAUGAACAGUAUCUGAAUUCACAUCAACUAGGAAAAUUAACAGGAUUUAUUUAAGAGAAAAACUUUUACGUUGCAUGAUUGUUGAGUAUUAAAUAUGCUUAGCUAUAAUCUUCACUUUAUUGCUAUCCAGCAAAAGAUUCCAGGAAGAUUCUGACACAAGUCUCCUAGUUUUCCUAGGGAAAUGCUAGCAAUUGCAAACCCGUUGCUGUUUCCAACUUCGAAAUAGGUGUGUAUUCCCUGCUCUUUCUGACAGUGCAGAGCAUACCUAGGGUCAUGAAGAGAUUAGUGCUUCAGGCAGCAAGAGCCAUUCUUCAGGCAACCAUCACGUUCCACUACUGGAACUAAAAGAUUUCCUGUGUAUUUUCGUCUCUUUCAUACCAGCUUUCUUCCAGCCAUAUAAAGGUAGCAGUUUAGAAGAUGAUGCUACAGGAAUCCUCAACAGCUGAACUGUAGAUUUACUACUACCUACUACUGUCUUCUAAAAGAUUUCUUUGGCAUGACAGGGGCAUGAGGUCAGCCAAUUAACAAGCACGACACAGGGAAUACAUUGAAACUGCAUGUUGAGAAGUUUCUAAGAAGUUACCAAGUAAAAUACUGAGAUUCUGAAAACGUAUAUGGGUGUAUCUGUAAGUGGUGCUUUUGGAGUUCGGUUUAUAUUUAUGAUUGCCAAACUGCAGCCCUUAUCUGAAGUCUUUAAGAGUACUGUAUUUAGCACAGUAGCACCAGCUAAUUGGGGCCUCUGCUUUUACUAUAAAAUAAACAUCUGUUUCCUGAAGGGGUGCAGCGUUUAAAUACAGUAAUCAUUUAUUCAGUAACCUUCAGUAUACAAAAUUCAUUUUGAACAAUUACCGUUUUAUCAGAGUCUUCAAAAAUUUCUCUUGCUUCUUCAUAAUUGCACAGCUCUUCAUAACACUCCCUUUCCAGGUUAUCUGGUGUGAAUGCUUCAAAAUCAAAUCUGUUAUUCAGAAGAUGUCUUCCGAUGAAUAAAUUGGCAUCCUUUUCUGAUGUGAACACUAAGAAAAAAAUCAAGUUGAUUUAAAUCUAGUUAUGAAAGCUAAAUCUGGUAUUUUUGAAGAAUGGUGAAUAUCCCAAAGAAGUGUAUUAAGUUCACUUCUUCCCCUAGCAUCUCUCCACCACAUACAAUAUAAGGAAACAUCAAGCUCUCCUCCUAAAAUGUCUUCUUUGCUGCUAACUGUUCUAACUAUGCAAUACAAAAUAGACGUAUUUUCCUUUCUCGUAAAGCGUUUCAGCUAUUCCUUAUACUGGCCAAGAGCAUUUGUUUCUCAUGACAGCUGUUGGGAGUUCAAGUUUUGGUAUUAUCCCUUCUGGGAUGUGGGUAUAAUUUUUUUGCUGGAACUCUUAAGAACAAAGUAAUUGUCACAUAAAACAGAAAUCCAAUCAAAUCCAGACAAAGCAAAACGUUGAUCUAUUGGAAAAAAAAAUCUGUUCUUUGUAAAGAAUCCUCAACAUACAUUCCUUUCACAUAUUCUGGUAUCUGAGUUACAAAUUUUGUUUACAGAAUUUGAGUUUAAAAUAAUGACAGUGGAGUCCCAUUCAUUUUGCAUUUGUUCUUCUUUCACAGUUGUGAUAAUGUCUAAUGACUGAAGAAAGUUUUAUGUAAAGGCUGGCAUAUUGCCAUAUUUAUUUGUUUUAAGUUAGCCUGUGAUAGGAAUGUUACUGACAGUAGACACUUCUGAAGACAUUUAAUUCUUUUCUUCUUUUGUGCUUAUUACAAGGUGUAUAAAGAGCAUAGAGUAAGUUGUGAGGUGAGAUUUCAGAAGGUUAGUGAGAUUAUAGAAGACUUCAGAAUACAGGAAUGCAGUUUCUUGCCAGGCAUUUCCCAUAGUCAAGUUUUAGCCUGUUCUUGCUACAGCUUUUUGUAAAGAAAUCAUCUUUAUAUGACAGAACUAGUUUUUUGGCUUGGCUUUCAGUGAAGGCCUAAUCUGUACUCCAAGAAAUUCAGACUAUUUGGUUAAGCAAGAUGACUGGAGGAUUAUUUCUGCAAGUGUAAUGCAGAAACAGCUUUGUUGCAUACCAAGCCAGACAGCUAAAAAAAGAGAUGAGACUCAGAAUGAAGAUAUUCAACUACAAAUUAGUUCUGUGCUCUUGGUAGCUUGUAUGUCUAGAUUAUCACAUCAUUCAGGAAUUUUUACCCUAGUAAUUACUGUUAGGUUUUGCAGUGGCAUCUGAAAAUAUUUUGCCCUCUAAAAACUCUUAUGAAAACUGCAAUGUGACUUGUAUAUUGGUUGUUUAUGCCUUUAAUAAUACGGUAGAAUACUUCAAGGAGCCACAUGUAUGCACACAUUUGUGUAAGGGGGAAAUCUGUUAUUCUAAAGUAGUUAGAAGAAAAUCUAAGCUUAACAUAUUUAUGCUGUAUCUAAGAGUAACUAGACAGAAGGACUUCAUCCAAAAUAUACAAGUGGAAAAGCAAAAGAAUUACAUGGAAAGAAGUAUUAUCAAUAGCUUGGUUCAGUACAAAUCACAUCAGAGUUAACUUCAGUCUUCUGAAACAAAUCUUUAGUAGUGCUUCAUUUGUUACCAUUUAAGUAGUAUUACCUGUACUGAAUUAAAAAUAUUUAACCUAAAUAAGAUAAUGCCUGUAUUUUAAUUAAUGUGAAGUGCAGAAGCAGGCUGUCUGGAGCCCAGUGUCAAACCUAAGACCACUAAUUCCUAGUCCUAGCCUGGGUAGGGACACAUGUUCCUUCUCUCUGAUUCAGAGUCCUUAUCCAUUUAUCUGCACUUUUCUCACUUUGCAGGACAUAGUCAAAGUGCACCUGUCCCUACCUCCAAGUAACAUACAACAUAGUGGUUAAGAUAGUAUUUGGAGGGUGAAACAGGUGAAUUUGAAUCCUCUGCCAUCCCUGAGGGGAACUAAAUUCAGUUCUACAGUCCUUAGGCCAUGGCUGAACAAGAUGGUAAAUCCAGUUUUAGGAUGUGCCUAGCUUUUCAUUAAAAACACAUCCACACAGAGUGCUAAAUAAAGUCCCUCUGCUGGUAAAAGAUGUUCAGAAAAUGGUGAAGGGGUAUCCUUUCAAUGCAGGUGCCCUGUACUCUUGGCAAGUGGUCUGCUUGUUAAAUUAUUGGAUGAAAGAGUUGGGGCCCCCUUUUCCACGUCUGUCUUUAAAUAAAGAGUGAUCCAAGGCUAUCAUCAGGUGAAGCUUCUACAGCGGGUUCAGGGAAUACAAAAGGAAGAGGCAGCAUGGCAACAGUCAAUUUAAGGCCCCAGAGCAAUACUGAUUUUAAAAAAUAACCUGUCUUAAGCGAUUUUCUGCUGGCCAUGUUUCUGCUCAACAGACUGCCCCGAAGCAGCUCCUUGUUCAAUAUGAUUUUAAGUCCCUUUUAAGGUUUCAGCAUUCCUUAUCCAGUGAGGAGAUGGGACAGCUAACUUACAAAUGCCUUUGUGAAGCCAUGAUGCUUAAAAGUAUCACACUGCUCAGCAUCAGAGGGCUUCAUUCCUUCUUGGGGACUUCAUGUGGUUUUACCUCCAUUCCUCUUCCGACUCCUUCCAAAGUGGAGAAUUGCAAUAGUAGCACUGUAUCUGUCUUUCAAGGUGUUGUAAGGACAUUUGAGAUUUAUAUACUUUCUGAAUACCAGAAAACAAGCAAAUAAACCCUUUCAAAUGCAAAUCAA